UCAGGAUGAACGCUAGCGGCAGGCUUAACACAUGCAAGUCGAGGGCAGCAUGACGGUAACCUUCGGGUUUUGUUGAUGGCGACCGGCGCAAGGGUGCGUAACGCGUGAGCAACUUGCCCGUUUCAGGGGGAUAACCGGUGGAAACGCCGACUAAUACCCCAUGGCAUCAUAUUGAGGCAUCUUUAUAUGAUUAAAGAAUUUCGGAAACGGAUAGGCUCGCGUGACAUUAGCUAGAUGGCGGGUAACGGCCCACCAUGGCGACGAUGUCUAGGGGUUCUGAGAGGAAGGUCCCCCACACUGGAACUGAGACACGGUCCAAACUCCUACGGGAGGCAGCAGUGAGGAAUAUUGGUCAAUGGACGGAAGUCUGAACCAGCCAAGUCGCGUGAAGGAUGAAGGUUCUAUGGAUUGUAAACUUCUUUUGUCUGAGGGUAAAAAAGCGGACGUGUCCGUUCUUGCAAGUAUCAGACGAAUAAGCAUCGGCUAACUCCGUG
rnacentral:rRNA from 1 species